rnacentral:rRNA from 1 species
AUGCUGGGCUUCCUCCACAACGCAAAAAAAAACGGCAACCGCUUCGUCCCCACUUCGACCUUCCGGCGGCGGGCGUCCCAGGACCGCCCAGACUGCCAGGUCCUCGACUCCCGGCACGGCCUCGUCCUCCUCUACGCCGCCGCGUACCUAGUCCCCUUUGAUGUCUGCGACCUCGUCGCCAACAAGUGGUGGGAGAUCGAGGCCGUCCCCAAGUGCCGCGACACCAUGCACUGGCAGGACAUCUACGAUGGCGUACUGCACUGCAAUGCCACGGUGCUCUGCGCCAGAGACCGGUGCGACCACCUCGACUGCCAUGGCGGCGGCCCUUUUCUCGUGGCCUUGGUGGGCUCUGCGGAGGAAGGAGGCAUUGCCCUCGCCACUGCCUACUCGUCGGAGACUCGUCAGUGGAGCGACAAGAUCUCUGUUCGGAGCCCGGGUCUUCAGAUCGAUGACGGAGGGCACACUGCUGUGGUGGGAACUAAGGUCUAUGUCCCCAGCUAUGAGUGUGACAGCGUCGUGGAGUACAACAUUCGUGAGCAACGGCUAUCCGUGAUCAAUGUGCCAGAGAGCCUGGACGAGGCACACCUUGACCUCAUAGGCGCGGAGGACGGCAUGCUGCUGUUUGCGUCCGUGCUCAAGUCUAGACUCUAUCUAUGGUCAAUGGAGGCUGGUCCUAGAGGAGCCGCGGGAUGGGCGCGACGCAGGGUCGUCGAGCUCGAGCCAUUGCUCCCUCCCCGUGCCCUCUUGGACAUGUCGGACUCGGACGUGUGGGCGGUUGGUUUCGCGGAAGGGGUUAGCGUCAUCUUCCUCAGAACACCGGCUGGGUUGUACGCAGUUGAGCUUAAUUCAGGCCGAGUCAACAAUGUGGGUAAAUUUAGCAUUGAAAAGGUCAUGCCCUACACGAGCUUCUGCACUCGAGCAUUCCACCGGGUGCUGGCCUCUGAUGAAGCCUCACGCGCGGUUGUCGGUGCCGUCUACUUUUUUCCUCCCAGGAAGACUUUGAAGAUGAGCUCCGGUGGGUGUCUUCUGCUGCCGGCUGUGUUGGGUAGUUUGGUCAUCUGUAUGGUAUGGUGUUGCCUGAACUCAAGUUAG